rnacentral:rRNA from 1 species
AACGAACGCUGGCGGCAUGCCUAACACAUGCAAGUCGAACGAUCCCUUCGGGGAUAGUGGCGCACGGGUGCGUAACGCGUGGGAACCUGCCCUUAGGUUCGGAAUAACUCAGAGAAAUUUGAGCUAAUACCGGAUAAUGUCUUCGGACCAAAGAUUUAUCGCCUUUGGAUGGGCCCGCGUUGGAUUAGCUAGUUGGUGGGGUAAAGGCCUACCAAGGCGACGAUCCAUAGCUGGUCUGAGAGGAUGAUCAGCCACACUGGGACUGAGACACGGCCCAGACUCCUACGGGAGGCAGCAGUGGGGAAUAUUGGACAAUGGGCGAAAGCCUGAUCCAGCAAUGCCGCGUGAGUGAUGUAGGCCUUAGGGUUGUAAAGCUCUUUUACCCGGGAUGAUAAUGACAGUACCGGGAGAAUAAGCCCCGGCUAACUCCGUG